GCGUGGAUGGAGAGGGCGACAUGAAACGGAUUGCAGGUUUUCCUCUGCGCCAUGAAAGUGUGCGCGACAGCAGAGGGUGAACUCACUGCUGCCUGGAUCCUUAUGUCCGCUUGGAAGAGGCAUUUGUGGCCAGAGGUUGUGUGUCUGAGAGUGUGACUGUGUUGUGGGGUCACCAAUUUCUUUCACAACAACUUCCCAAUCUCUGGUGCAGUGUCUAGGGACUGGAUUUGGGUAGACUCCAUCCCAGUGUUUAAAUAGUUAAAAAAGAAAUAAGGGGGGGGUGCAGAAAUAUAGUGGGAGGAGCCAACUAAACCUUUUUUAAAAACCCCCCAAAGUAAAUUAAUCUUUCUACUUGUUUAAAAAGGUAAGCAGAAAGGAGUUGCUAGCAAAUUCUGGGUGAGACAGAUUGAGCUUUGAAGAGAAAGGGGCUCCCAUUUUGUAACUUUAAAGCUCUUUUUAACCUUCCAAGUCUGUUUUUCUUUGUGUGCAUGUGGGGUUUUUUAUUUUUUUAAAAAUAAAAAAAAAUACUCGCUUAAAUUAUACUCAUCCAGCUUUUAAGUAGACUUUGUGAUAACUCCCCCCCCUUCCUUCUUCUAUGCCCUAAUUUCUUUUCUAUUGAGGAAAGGAGGGAAUGGUUGUUAAAUGGUUUUAAAGGAAGGGGUUAGCAUUGGAGAAAUAAAUCAAUUCCUUUCUGGCAUCUAACUUUCAAUUCAUAACAUUGGUUUCAUAUAGCUAUUUCAUUAGGAUGGAAUAACUCACCUGCAAGUAAUUACAGUUGACUUGCUUUCUAAGAGAAACCCAGGCAAGUUUGGGGAAGGAAGGAAGGUGACUUAACAGAAAUAUCGUGCAGCUUUGACAUGGGAAUAUAAAAGUGAAUUAGAUAUAUUCUUUAUUAAAGCACAAACCUAUCUGAAUGAUCUUUGUAAGCAAUUGUUUCCAUGGAGCUCUGCUUUUUCCAGGCUUUGCUACAUACACACAGGGAUGUCUGGACUGCAGGAUGCUCAGAAAGCCUUAGAUCAACAAGGGAGGUGUUACAAAAUGAACUCGAAAAGUAUUGUCCUAAAUUUCAUUUUGACUUUGCAAAGAAAAGCACUUGCUACAAAUGCGAGAAAACUCUUGUAUUGCUUCAUGUAUUCGAAACAGGCACAUGACAUCGCUUCUCCCCCUUUUGCUCAGAAACUUCUUUUUAAAAUAUCUUGUUUUAACCACAUGCUGCAAAAUGGUUUAAAUUGCCUUUCUCAAGGUCCUGUCUAGCACUAUUUAUAUCUUUUACUUAAUAAAAAAAUAUAUCUCUAUAUGCAAUUAAUUUUGUGCAAAAUAUUAUCCUUGGGAUCAAACUUGGAAGUGCCUAACGUGUUUGCUGUGAUUUCUUUUCUGAAAGCAGAUUAGUCUUCUGUUUUUUUUGUUCACAUUCAUUUUUAUGCUGUAGCAAUUGUUUUCUAACCAUUGUAACCUGGGAAAAUUCAGCAAUAUUUGAAGAAGCAUCUUUCUUUCUUUUUCCACCUGAAAAGAUUUGUAAAUGUAAGAAACCUUUUCUAAAUAAUUUACUUUCAGCUCUGAUUUACUACUGUGAGGCUAUUAUUUGCUUUAAACGAUUUAAGAAAAAAACGACAAAUUAAAUGCCUUUUUGGAAUAAAAAAGGAAGCACCCCUUUGCAGCCGAAAUUGCAUGUGUGAUAUAUUUUUUUAAACUCAACUUUCAAGCCUUUUAAAUUGAGGUUUCGCCUAUGGAGGAGAAAAACAAUUGUAUUCUGAAAUAGUCAAACAUUUUCAAAAGACCACUAUAGCAAAUUCUGUAAUUGUAAUGCAGUUCAGAUUUUGAAUAAUUGUUUUAAUUUUAAUCCAGUACAUAUUUGUGGUUUAUUUUGAAGCAAGCAAUUCAUGGCAGCUUUUAUCAAAAAAAUAAUAAUUAAAAAUAGGAUUUGAUUUA